rnacentral:rRNA from 1 species
CAGUAGCCGCGGUAAUACGUAGGUGGCAAGCGUUGUCCGGAAUUAUUGGGCGUAAAGGGCUCGCAGGCGGUUUCUUAAGUCUGAUGUGAAAGCCCCCGGCUCAACCGGGGAGGGUCAUUGGAAACUGGGAAACUUGAGUGCAGAAGAGGAGAGUGGAAUUCCACGUGUAGCGGUGAAAUGCGUAGAGAUGUGGAGGAACACCAGUGGCGAAGGCGACUCUCUGGUCUGUAACUGACGCUGAGACGCGAAAGCCAGGGGAGCGAACGGGAUUAGAUACCCCGGUAGUCCCUGUCUCUUAUAC